rnacentral:rRNA from 1 species
AGUGAACGCUGGCGGUAGGCCUAACACAUGCAAGUCGAACGGCAGCACAGUAGGAGCUUGCUCUUACGGGUGGCGAGUGGCGGACGGGUGGGGAAUACAUCGGAAUCUACUUUUUCGUGGGGGAUAACGUAGGGAAACUUACGCUAAUACCGCAUACGACCUACGGGUGAAAGCAGGGGAUCUUCGGACCUUGCGCGAUUGAAUGAGCCGAUGUCGGAUUAGCUAGUUGGCGGGGUAAAGGCCCACCAAGGCGACGAUCCGUAGCUGGUCUGAGAGGAUGAUCAGCCACACUGGAACUGAGACACGGUCCAGACUCCUACGGGAGGCAGCAGUGGGGAAUAUUGGACAAUGGGCGCAAGCCUGAUCCAGCCAUACCGCGUGGGUGAAGAAGGCCUUCGGGUUGUAAAGCCCUUUUGUUGGGAAAGAAAAGCAGCAGGUUAAUACCCCGCUGUUCUGACGGUACCCAAAGAAUAAGCACCGGCUAACUUCGUG